rnacentral:rRNA from 1 species
GAUGAACGCUGGCGGCGUGCCUAAUACAUGCAAGUCGAGCGAACGGACGAGAAGCUUGCUUCUCUGAUGUUAGCGGCGGACGGGUGAGUAACACGUGGAUAACCUACCUAUAAGACUGGGAUAACUUCGGGAAACCGGAGCUAAUACCGGAUAAUAUUUUGAACCGCAUGGUUCAAAAGUAAAAGACGGUCUUGCUGUCACUUAUAGAUGGAUCCGCGCUGCAUUAGCUAGUUGGUAAGGUAACGGCUUACCAAGGCAACGAUGCAUAGCCGACCUGAGAGGGUGACGGGCCACACGGGAAGUGAGACAGGGACCAGACUCCAAGGGGGGGAAGAAGGAGGGAAUCUUCCGAAAGGGGCGAAAGCGGGACGGAGCAACGCCGGGGGAGUGAGGAAGGUCUUGGGAUCGAAAAACUGUGUUAUAAGGGAAAAACAGAUGGGAAAGAACCGGUGAACAUCUUGACGGAACCAAAUAAGAAAGCCAGGGCAAACUACGGG